rnacentral:pre_miRNA from 1 species
CUUGUACUCCCUCCGUUCAGAAUUACUUGUCGUAGAAAUGGAUGUAUCUAGAUGUAUUUUAGUUCUAGAUACAACCAUUUCCGAGACAAGUAAUUCCGAACGGAGGGAGUACAAC